rnacentral:rRNA from 1 species
AGGGUUUGAUCCUGGCUCAGGAUGAACGCUGGCGGCGUGCUUAACACAUGCAAGUCGAACGAACCUUCGGGUUAGUGGCGGACGGGUGAGUAACGCGUGAGAAUCUGCCCUCAGGAGGGGGAUAACGGUUGGAAACGACCGCUAAUACCCCAUAUGCCUACUGGUGAAACGAAUUUCGCCUGAGGAUGAGCUCGCGUCUGAUUAGCUAGUUGGUGAGGUAAUGGCUCACCAAGGCUUCGAUCAGUAGCUGGUCUGAGAGGAUGAUCAGCCACACUGGGACUGAGACACGGCCCAGACUCCUACGGGAGGCAGCAGUGGGGAAUUUUCCGCAAUGGGCGAAAGCCUGACGGAGCAACGCCGCGUGAGGGACGAAGGCCUCUGGGCUGUAAACCUCUUUUCUCAAGGAAGAAGAUAUGACGGUACUUGAGGAAUAAGCCACGGCUAAUUCCGUGCCAGCAGCCGCGGUAAUACGGGAGUGGCAAGCGUUAUCCGGAAUUAUUGGGCGUAAAGCGUCCGCAGGCGGCUUUUCAAGUCUGCUGUUAAAGCGUGGAGCUUAACUCCAUCAUGGCAGUGGAAACUGAAAGGCUUGAGUAUGGUAGGGGCAGAGGGAAUUCCCGGUGUAGCGGUGAAAUGCGUAGAUAUCGGGAAGAACACCAGUGGCGAAGGCGCUCUGCUGGGCCAUUACUGACGCUCAUGGACGAAAGCCAGGGGAGCGAAAGGGAUUAGAUACCCCUGUAGUCCUGGCCGUAAACGAUGAACACUAGGUGUCGGGGGAAUCGACCCCUUCGGUGUCGUAGCUAACGCGUUAAGUGUUCCGCCUGGGGAGUACGCACGCAAGUGUGAAACUCAAAGGAAUUGACGGGGGCCCGCACAAGCGGUGGAGUAUGUGGUUUAAUUCGAUGCAACGCGAAGAACCUUACCAGGGUUUGACAUCCUGCGAACCUCUUAGAAAUUUGAGGGUGCCUUCGGGAAUGCAGUGACAGGUGGUGCAUGGCUGUCGUCAGCUCGUGUCGUGAGAUGUUGGGUUAAGUCCCGCAACGAGCGCAACCCACGUUUUUAGUUGCCAGCAUUUAGUUGGGCACUCUAGAAAGACCGCCGGUGAUAAACCGGAGGAAGGUGUGGAUGACGUCAAGUCAUCAUGCCCCUUACACCCUGGGCUACACACGUACUACAAUGCUACGGACAAAGGGCAGCAAACUCGCGAGAGCUAGCAAAUCCCAUAAACCGUGGCUCAGUUCAGAUCGUAGGCUGCAACUCGCCUACGUGAAGUAGGAAUCGCUAGUAAUCGCAGGUCAGCAUACUGCGGUGAAUACGUUCCCGGGCCUUGUACACACCGCCCGUCACACCAUGGAAGUUGGCCAUGCCCGAAGUCGUUACUCCAACCCUUGUGGAGGAGGACGCCGAAGGUGGGGCUAAUGACUGGGGUGAAGUCAUAACAAGGUAGCCGUA